rfam:Triticum aestivum genome assembly, contig: Triticum_aestivum_CS42_TGACv1_scaffold_591815_7BS
AAUGUACUCCCUCCGUCCGGAAAUGCUUGUCCUAGAAAUGACUAUAUCUAGACUUAUUUUAGUUAUGGAUACAUCCAUUUUCAACCAUUUCUAGGACAAGUAUUUCUGAACGGAGGGAGUACAUA